UGGGGAAUUUUGGACAGUGGGCGCAAGCCUGAUCCAGCCAUGCCGCGUGCGGGAAGAAGGCCUUCGGGUUGUAAACCGCUUUUGUCAGGGAAGAAAUCUUCUGAGUUAAUACCUCGGGAGGAUGACGGUACCUGAAGAAUAAGCACCGGCUAACUACGUGCCAGCAGCCGCGGUAAUACGUAGGGUGCAAGCGUUAAUCGGAAUUACUGGGCGUAAAGCGUGCGCAGGCGGUUUUGUAAGACAGAGGUGAAAUCCCCGGGCUCAACCUGGGAACUGCCUUUGUGACUGCAAGGCUUGAGUGCGGCAGAGGGGGGAUGGAAUUCCGCGUGUAGCAGUGAAAUGCGUAGAUAUGCGGAGGAACACCGAUGGCGAAGGCAAUCCCCUGGGCCUGCACUGACGCUCAUGCACGAAAGCGUGGGGAGCAAACAGGAUUAGAUACCCUGGUAGUCCACGCCCUAAACGAUGUCAACUGGUUGUUGGGAAGGUUCCUUCUCAGUAACGUAGCUAACGCGUGAAGUUGACCGCCCGGGGAGUACGGCCGCAA
rnacentral:rRNA from 1 species